rnacentral:rRNA from 1 species
UCACCCUGUGACAUACCUAAACGUUGCUUCGGCGGGAAUAGACGGCCCCGUGAAACGGGCCGCCCCCGCCAGAGGACCCUUAACUCUGUUUCUAUAAUGUUUCUUCUGAGUAAAACAAGCAAAUAAAUUAAAACUUUCAACAACGGAUCUCUUGGCUCUGGCAUCGAUGAAGAACGCAGCGAAAUGCGAUAAGUAAUGUGAAUUGCAGAAUUCAGUGAAUCAUCGAAUCUUUGAACGCACAUUGCGCCCGCCAGUAUUCUGGCGGGCAUGCCUGUUCGAGCGUCAUUACAACCCUCAGGCCCCCGGGCCUGGCGUUGGGGAUCGGCGGAGCCUCUCUGUGGGCACACGCCGUCCCCCAAAUACAGUGGCGGUCCCGCCGCAGCUUCCAUCGCGUAGUAGCUAACACCUCGCGACUGGAGAGCGGCGCGGCCACGCCGUAAAACACCCAACUCUUCUGAAGUUGACCUCGAAUCAGGUAGGAAUACCCGCUGAACUUAAGCAUAUCAAUAA